ACAGAUUCAACGCUAUCUAGUGGUAGCCUACUAAUAGACGAUGAGAACAGUAUGAGAAUAAAAAAAGUCGUAAACUCUUCGAAAAAGACGGAAUAGUGAGGUGGAGAGAGGCCGAGAGUUGAUACGGAAUAGCAAAUACGAAUCGAGCCGGAGUUUCGUCGAACAAUGCGUUGAAUCGUCCUUUUUGUACGACAAAUUAUUACGCUUCGUUAUACAUACGAAUGGAUGCGAGAUUGGCGAAACGUCACAGUGACAUUCGCGCGAAUUUACAAUGUAAUUAUACCGUGGUGAUAUUCAACAUAUAAGUGCUGCCUGAGGAGGAGGCAAAAAUCAGCAACAUGACUGAAGGUGCAGAGACCCAACCGAAUGCGGGAAAUGAGCCCCAAACAGGUAAGUUACUGUUUUAUUGAUGAUUUGUAUAUGUACACACAAUUGGAUACUAAGCCCGAUAUAAUUGAGUUAGUGUUUGUUAUAGAUAUCUAUGUUAUGUUAUAUAAUAGAGGGGCUUCAAUUUUUAAUCUAUUUUUUGUUAUGUGAUACUAUCGUUUUAUUAUACUGGGGAGAUAUCUUUAUACUAGAUAAUCAUUUAUCACAAAUAUUAACAUAUAAUUAGAUAUAAUAUUUAAUAGUCUUUUAAAAUUAACACAAU